GACGAACGCUGGCGGCGUGCUUAACACAUGCAAGUCGAACGGAAAGGCCCUGCUGUUGUGGGGUGCUCGAGUGGCGAACGGGUGAGUAACACGUGAGUAACCUGCCCUUGACUUGGGGAUAACUUCAGGAAACUGGGGCUAAUACUGAUGGGAGCAUCUGCUGCAAGGAGGGGGGUGGAAAGGUUCGGGGGUUGGGGCUGGACUCGCGGCUUAUGAGCUUGUUGGUGGGGGAGGGGCUUACCAAGGCUUUGGCGGGUAGCCGGCCUGAGGGGGUGACCGGCCACAUUGGGACUGCGAUACGGCCCAGACUCCUACGGUGGACAGCGGUGGGGAAUCUUGCCCAAUGGGCGGAAGCCUGAUGCAGCAACGCCGCGUGCGGGAUGAAGGCCUUCGGGUUGUAAACCGCUUUCGCCUGUGACGAAGCGUGAGUGACGGUACUGGGUAAAGAAGCACCGGCUAACUACGUG
rnacentral:rRNA from 1 species